AGUGAACGCUGGCGGUAGGCCUAACACAUGCAAGUCGAACGGCAGCACAGUAAGAGCUUGCUCUUACGGGUGGCGAGUGGCGGACGGGUGAGGAAUACAUCGGAAUCUACUUUUUCGUGGGGGAUAACGUAGGGAAACUUACGCUAAUACCGCAUACGACCUACGGGUGAAAGCAGGGGAUCUUCGGACCUUGCGCGAUUGAAUGAGCCGAUGUCGGAUUAGCUAGUUGGCGGGGUAAAGGCCCACCAAGGCGAGGAUCCGUAGCCGGUCUGAGAGGAUGGUAGGCCACACUGGAAGUGAGACACGGACCAGACUCCUACGGGAGGCAGCAGUGGGGAAUAGUGGACAAUGGGCGGAAGUCUGAUCCAGCCAUACCGCGUGGGUGAAGAAGGCGUUCGGGUUGUAAAGCCCGUUUGUUGGGAAAGAAAAGCAGCAGGUUAAUACGCAGCUGUUCUGACGGUAACCAAAGAAUAAGCACCGGCUAACUUCGUG
rnacentral:rRNA from 1 species